CUGAAGUAUCAAGCAGUUACCGUGUAGAAAAGUCAAACAGAAUGCAGAAAAGUCAACCAGUGAACCAAAAUGCUGAAAAGUUGACCAGAGUGCAGAAAAGGUAACGUUGAGCGCUAGCUUCGGGACCAAUUUUCACUGUUUUGACGCCUAGGCACCGCUGAGGGGUGAUUCUGGGAGCCGCACCUACCGCUGAGCGGUGGUUUGAGUGCUGAGCGCCAUUUCCUUGGACUUGGGCCUGUUUUUCUGUUAUUUUAUGAUCUAUUUUGGGCCUGGACCUGUUUUCUGUUAUUUUUAUGCCCUAUUUAAAGGCCAGAACGUCUUUGAGAAUGUAUCUUUUGAUGGUUUAGCCACACAAACAUAUUUUUCACCCUUUUGGGGGCAAAAUUAGGGAAUUGACAACUCUCAUUUCCUCCUCUUAGGGUUUCUAUCUCUUUCAUUCCAUUGUACACCUAGUUCUUCCAUGACAAUGGAGAACUAAUCUUAUUUGUUGCUGGG
rnacentral:lncRNA from 1 species